rnacentral:rRNA from 1 species
AUGCCCAAGCGCACCAUGGGAGGAAGGGCCGACGCCGGGGCCGACGCCAUGGCGCACGAGGCAUCCAAGCACCAUGCGAAGCUGCACAUUGAGAAACCGCUCCCCGCCGGCAAGGGGUCCAGCCGGCAGCAUGGCGGCCUUGACGUCGUCGACCACGUCCAGGCUCCGGUGCAGGUGUCACCUACGCUGGAGCAGGUGGAUCCUCCGCCGGAGCAGGUGACUCCUCUGCCACGCCAUCUGCCUCCUCUGCCGCAGCCCGUGGUCAACAUCGAUGGCGACGAUGAUGAAGAAGAGACAUUACUCCUAAAUCUUUAA